AGCGACGCUGGUGCUCCUUCUGCCGACGCGACAUGAUGCCCAGAUACAGCGUCCUGAUGUACCUGCAGGGGGUCAGAGUGACUGACAAAAAGGACACGGGCUACACAGAGGGACAUUUCUUGUGACAAAAAGCUUUUGGCAGAAAAGGACAGACUCAUGCAUUAUGGCAGGCUCAGACUGUUUCUCCACUUUGCACGAAUGGGAGUCCCCAGAUUAUGAGCCGUCACUUCCUGUUUCAGAGAAGUCCAACCCCCUGACGCUUGAUAUCGACCGAGCUUCGGCCAAUCGUAUUGUGAGGAUGCUACAGGCCUGUGACGCCCAGAUGUUUCAGGAAGAGACUGGAGCGACCUAUCAGAGGCUGUUGAGUGAACAAGUUGUGGAAACACUGAUGGAGGUUGCUCAGGACGUCGAGCUCAUUCUUAAGGAUCCUCGGGACAGCCUCGUUGUGCUGAGUGGUUGUGGGACUUCUGGUCGACUGGCUUUCCUCAUCUCGUCAGCUUUCAACAGAGCACUGAGGGAACUGGACCAGAGUUUGGUCUACUCGUACAUCAUUGCAGGGGGAGACAGAGCUCUGCUCUCCUCCCAAGAAGCUCCUGAAGAUGAUCCUAAACUGGGCAUGCUCAGUUUGAAGAAGGUGUGUGAGGGGAAAAAGCGGGUCUUGUUCAUUGGUAUUUCCUGCGGCUUAUCUGCUCCGUUUGUUGCAGGUCAGCUAGACUUUUGCCUGCAGCACCCGGAGGUCUACACUCCUGUACUGGUUGGCUUCAAUCCUCCACAUCAGGCCAGGGAUGAGCCCAUUCCAGGCUGCACGUUCACUUUCCGCAGUGUGGUGCAAAGGAUGCAGGAGCUUUCCAAAAGUCAAAAAGCAUUCCUCAUCAACCCAGCAGUUGGACCAGAAGCCAUCAGCGGCUCGUCCAGGAUGAAAGGAGGCAGUGCCACUAAGAUUCUGCUGGAGGUCGUCCUGUCCGCUGCUCACGCUGCCACCUUUACAAACACACCCAUCACUUACAAGAGCAUGCUGCAGCACAUGAGAGCAUACGAGAAAACUCUGGAUAUCACUUACGCUCAGACGGAGGGGAUCAGUGCUCUGCUGGAGGCAGCUGGACACAGUCUGCGGUGUGGUGGGCGUGUGUGUUACCUGGGCUGGGGCUCCCUGGGUACGCUGGGUCUUAUUGACGCCAGCGAGUGUAUACCCACUUUUGGAGCAGACUACGAAGAUGUUCGAGGCUUCAUCAGUGGAGGAUACAGAGAGCUGAACAACAAUGAGGGCCCGCUGGGUCCUGACUUUUGCAUCGCACAUGAGGAUUUUUUACAUCAAGUUCUGCCCUCUCUUAAUGCCCGGGAUGUCGUUCUUCUUAUCUACACACAGUCUGACGAUGUCGGUGAAGUGGCGAGGCUGGCCCGCAGAGUGAGAGAGAAGAUGUCCAACCUGCACGCUGUUUAUCACUGUGCUGAUGGAGACGCUGAAGCUGCUGCACAACAAGAUAACAUCAGCAAGCUGUGUUUGUCCUCACUAAAAAUCACUUGGCAAUCGCCUGCUUCAGAGAGUUUACUACACAUGCAGUGGGAGCUGUCCACUAAGCUGCUGCUGAAUGCUGUGAGCACCGGAGCUCACGUCUUAAAGGGGAAGAUUUACCACAACUACAUGAUCGACUUGCAGGUCACCAACAGCAAACUCUACCGCAGAGCCACACGUCUACUCCAGAGGCUGUCUGGUUGUCCUGAGUCCCAGUGUGAGGAGGCUCUCCUGAAGGCCGUGUACUGUGUGGACAAACUGACAGUGGACAUUACAUCGUUUGACAUCACCACGCACACACUCACUGCUAGAAACAGGACCAAGGUGGUCCCUCUGGCUUUGGUCUGUUUGCUGACUGGUUGCUCUCUCACGGAGGCGGAGACUCAUUUGGAGCAACGGCCAAUUGUAGCGGAUUAGCGUGACGUGUGUGUAUCUUGAGAGCAGCUGAGCGGCUUUGGAAACACCUUUGGAGCACAGCCAGUGGGGAACAAGAGCACAGAGCAGAAGAAGGAGAGCCACUAACGGAGAGACAGGAUGUCAGGAAGCAAAAGACCGUGAUCUCCCAUCUGUCCCUGUCAAUCCACCUUCAUAUAACCAUGGAUACAGUGAAGGAUGUGAAUACUUCCUCCACCGCUGGUCAGAGCUGAAGUGUAAUUGGUUUAAUCAGGGGGACAAAUAAAGAAGAAAGCAGAGGGCAGAUUAUACCAUGUGUGGCCUAGUUUGGAUGUCCACUCACUCCUCCCUGUACAGUCCCUCCUGCUCCCUGUCUCUCAUC